rnacentral:rRNA from 1 species
UACGGAGGAUGCGAGCGUUAUCCGGAUUUAUUGGGUUUAAAGGGUGCGUAGGCGGACGCUUAAGUCAGCGGUAAAAUUGCGGGGCUCAACCUCGUCGAGCCGUUGAAACUGGGUGCCUUGAGUGGGCGAGAAGUACGCGGAAUGCGUGGUGUAGCGGUGAAAUGCAUAGGUAUCACGCAGAACUCCGAUUGCGAAGGCAGCGUACCGGCGCCCAACUAACGCUGAAGCACGAAGGCGUGGGUAUCGAACAGG